rnacentral:rRNA from 1 species
AACGAACGUUGGCGGCGUGGAUGAGGCAUGCAAGUCGCGGGAAUCCCGGGGCAACCCGGGGGAACCGGCGUAAGGGGCAGUAAGGCGUGGGUACCCACCCCCGGGUCCGGGAUAGCCCGCCGAGAGGCGGGGUAAUACCGGAUGACCUCGGGAGAGCAAAGCUCCGGCGCCCGGGGCGGGGCCCACGUGGUAUUACCUGGUUGGCGGGGUAACGGCCCACCAAGGGGGGGAUGCCUAGCGGGUGUGAGAGCACGACCCGCGCCACUCGCACUGAGACACUGGCGAGACACCUACGGGUGGCUGCAGUCGAGGAUCUUCGGCAAUGCGCGCAAGCGCGACCGAGCGACGCCGCGUGGGCGACGAAGGCCUUCGGGUUGUAAAGCCCUGUCGAGGGGGAGAAAGCCCGCAAGGGCCGAUCUAUCCCUGGAGGAAGCUCGGGCUAAGUUCGUGCCAGCAGCCGCCGUAACAC